CCGCCACUAGCUCAGCUGGAAGAGCAAAUGACAGUGAUGUUGUAGUGUACGAGGUUCGAGGCCUCGGUGGCGGUCCA
rnacentral:tRNA from 1 species